CUGUCGAAGAAUGACAUCGUUGCAAGCACGAUUUAAGUAAUUACACAUGUAACGUACCAACUUCAGUGCCUCAUCAUCUCAACCUAAUAAGAAGAGGAUAUCGAGCUCUGAUUUAUAGUGGGGAUCAUGAUCUCGAUAUACCAUUUAUUGGCACACUUAAGUGGGUAAGAUCCCUCAACUUCUCUAUUGUUGAAAAUUGGCGAUCAUGGCGUGCUGGCGGCCAAGUUGCAGGGUAUACAAUGCUGUUCUCAAACAAUCUGACAUUUGCAACUGUGAAGGGUGGAAGUCAUACAGCUCCAAAUAAUAUGCCUUUGCAAUGCUUCGUUAUGUUUGAAAGGUGGAUUUCUCACAAGUCUCUAUGAUUAAUCUGACCUUAUGAACAAAUUUAUUGCAGAACAAAAUAAAUAAAUAAAGCUUUUCUU